rnacentral:rRNA from 1 species
GUAGGGAAUAUUGGGCAAUGGACGGAAGUCUGACCCAGCCAUGCCGCGUGCAGGAAGAAGGCGUUAUGCGUUGUAAACUGCUUUUUUAUAGGAAGAAGGAGACCUUGCGAGGUUUGGUGACGGUACUAUAAGAAUAAGCACCGGCUAACUCCGUGCCAGCAGCCGCGGUAAUACGGAGGGUGCGAGCGUUGUCCGGAUUUAUUGGGUUUAAAGGGUGCGUAGGCGGUUUAUUAAGUCAGUGGUGAAAGACGGUCGCUCAACGAUUGCAGUGCCAUUGAUACUGGUAGACUUGAGUUCGUAUGAGGUAGCUGGAAUGGAUAGUGUAGCGGUGAAAUGCAUAGAUAUUAUCCAGAACUCCAAUUGCGUAGGCAGGUUACUAAUACGAUACUGACGCUGAUGCACGAAAGUGUGGGGAUCAAACAGGAUUAGAAACCCGAGUAGUCC